UCAGAUGUGAAAUCCCCGGGCUUAACCUGGGAACUGCAUUUGAAACUGGCAGGCUAGAGUCUUGUAGAGGGGGGUAGAAUUCCAGGUGUAGCGGUGAAAUGCGUAGAGAUCUGGAGGAAUACCGGUGGCGAAGGCGGCCCCCUGGACAAAGACUGACGCUCAGGUGCGAAAGCGUGGGGAGCAAACAGGAUUAGAUACCCUGGUAGUCCACGCCGUAAACGAUGUCGACUUGGAGGUUGUGCCCUUGAGGCGUGGCUUCCGGAGCUAACGCGUUAAGUCGACCGCCUGG
rnacentral:rRNA from 1 species